ACCUCUGCCAUCACUUUAAAAUACACUCCUUCAGCAAUAGAGGUUUCAUUAAAAUGGAGGUUAAUUUGAAAUUUAAAACUCUCAUCGAGAUAUGUAAUUUGCAUUUAAUAGAUAUCAGAGCUUCAUAUUCAUAUAAAAUUUCAUCUUCUCUCCAUUCUUCACUUUCAGCAGGCGAAUUCAAAAUUUGAGAGGGUUUCUGUUUUUAGUUUCAGCAGUUGGAUUGAGAUGUCACGACCCUAAAUUUGCUUCCUGAGUCAUAGACAACCCUAAAGAGAAAGAGGAGAAGGAGAGUCUCCGAAGAUUACCUCGUGGGCAUAAUCAUAUUCCAAUAUCUACAAUUUCGAUGCCAUUGCCGAUCGAUCUAAACAUUUCAAAACCCUCAAUCGGAUCCAUCAAACUCUACUUAUCAAACAACAAAUGGUGAUAUUAGAAUCGCGUAUCACAACUCCUCAGAUGGG
rnacentral:lncRNA from 1 species